CCUGGCGUUGUGUUGAUUAACCAGUUGACCCCAUCUGCCCUCGACUCCUUCUUGAGUUCAUUUCCCCUCAGGCGCUCACACCCUCGGUCUGAACCCUCCUUGGAUGAAGGGAAGAUGUUUCCAUGGGAUCGGGACCAGGGGGAAGACAAAAUGAACUCAAUAGUGUGGGGAAGAGCAAAACUGUGCACAAAACCGCUUUCAACAGUUCGAAGAUUAAAAGUAUUUGAUUUCGGUUCGGUUAGGGCCUCCAUGAUGUGCCAAAGAGACGGUGCCAAAUUUGCUAGUUCUUGCCAACGUAGCUAAAAGCCAAAUAGCUAUUGGGUGGGACCCAAAUUUCGCGCCAACAGGUUUUUCUCUCCCAAUCUCUCAUCUCCUUCCUCUUUUCACUCUUCUCUCUCCGUAUUGUUUAUUGUUUUUUUCAAUUUGGCACUAGAUCAUCUACUUGC